UACGUAGGUGGCAAGCGUUGUUCGGAUUUACUGGGCGUAAAGGGCGUGCAGGCGGUUUGUUAAGUCUAGGGUGAAAGCUCCCGGCUCAACUGGGAGAGGUCCUUGGAUACUGGCAGACUUGAGGAGGGUAGAGGAGAGUGGAAUUCCCGGUGUAGUGGUGAUAUGCGUAGAUAUCGGGAGGAACACCAGUGGCGAAGGCGGCUCUCUGGGCCCUACCUGACGCUGAGACGCGAAAGCGUGGGGAGCAAACAGG
rnacentral:rRNA from 1 species